rnacentral:rRNA from 1 species
UACGGAGGGGGCUAGCGUUGUUCGGAAUUACUGGGCGUAAAGCGCACGUAGGCGGCUUUGCAAGUUAGAGGUGAAAGCCCGGAGCUUAACUCCGGAAUUGCCUUUAAAACUGCAUCGCUAGAAUUGUGGAGAGGUGAGUGGAAUUCCGAGUGUAGAGGUGAAAAUUCGUAGAUAUUCGGAAGAACACCAGUGGCGAAGGCGACUCACUGGACACAUAUUGACGCUGAGGUGCGAAAGCGUGGGGAGCAAACAGG